rnacentral:sRNA from 1 species
UUGACAGCUCUGGAAUCUGACAGCUUAUUUAUCCACAGAAUAGACACAGCAUGGGCAUCAGCAAUGCAAACUUCUCACAUUUCUCCAACAGUGCAUCUCAAUGUGACCCGCAGAGGCUGCUGCUAGGGGUGAGAUGUUAGCUCAGCCUCCGUUUUUUUUUUUUUUAGUCCU